AUGGAACACCAUAUUGUUCAUCCUAGGUUGGAAAAGAUAACAUGGAGAUAAACCAACUCAUACCCACUAUAGAUAGGAAUCUGGACCCGCAUCUUCUUCCCACAACCAAAAGCAGUAAGGCGCGUUUGGCAAAAAGGUUUCAUUCCUGGCAGACUUUGGUUCACAAAGAUCCGCCCUUUCACGUAUUCCAUUAAAAAGAAUGGAGAGCCAAGAAUGCUACGGAGUCAACAUAAAGUCAAAAUGCAUCAGGAUUUAAUAAGACUAUACUAAAGAGCAUGCUCCCUGUUUCCAUCCACUGGAGAGAGUCCCACGCUCUAUCAGGGGGUCCCACGGACAUGAAUGUUAGAAGAAAUGUAUAUGGGAGCUAAAAUCCACAGAAUUUCC